UACAGAGGGUGCGAGCGUUAAUCGGAAUUACUGGGCGUAAAGCGUGCGUAGACGGUAGCGUAAGUCAGAUGUGAAAGCCCCGGGCUCAACCUGGGAAUUGCAUUUGAGACUGCUCUGCUCGGGUGCGGAAGAGGGAAGCGGAAUUCCGGUGUAGCGGUGAAAUGCGUAGAUAUCGGAAGGAACACCAGUGGCGAAAGCGGCUUCCUGGUCCGACACCGACGUCAGGCACGAAAGCGUGGGGAGCAAACAGGAUUAGAAACCCGGG
rnacentral:rRNA from 1 species